CAAUAGCGUAUAUUUAAGUUGUUGCAGUUAAAAAGCUCGUAGUUGGAUUUCGGGUGGGCUGCGCCGGUCUCCUAACGGUUGUACUGGCGACGCCCGCCUUGCUGCCGGGGACGGGCUCCCGCCUUCACUGUCGGGACCCGGAAUCGGCGACGUUACUUUGAGUAAAUUAGAGUGUUCAAAGCAAGCCGCCGCUCUGAAUAUAAUAGCAUGGGAUAACACGACAGGACUCUGGCCUAUCGUGUUGGUCUGUAGGACCAGAGUAAUGAUUAAGAGGGACAGUCGGGGGCAUUCGUAUUCCGUUGUCAGAGGUGAAAUUCUUGGAUUUACGGAAGACGAACAUCUGCGAAAGCAUUUGCCAAGGAUGUUUUCAUUGAUCAAGAACGAAAGUUGGGGGCU
rnacentral:rRNA from 1 species